rnacentral:rRNA from 1 species
GUAGUCAUAUGCUUGUCUCAAAGAUUAAGCCAUGCAUGUCUAAGUAUAAGCAAUCUAUACGGUGAAACUGCGAAUGGCUCAUUAAAUCAGUUAUCGUUUAUUUGAUAGUACCUUACUACUUGGAUAACCGUGGUAAUUCUAGAGCUAAUACAUGCUAAAAACCCCGACUUACGAAGGGGUGUAUUUAUUAGAUAAAAAACCAAUGCCCUUCGGGGCUCCUUGGUGAUUCAUAAUAACUUAACGAAUCGCAUGGCCUUGUGCCGGCGAUGGUUCAUUCAAAUUUCUGCCCUAUCAACUUUCGAUGGUAUGGUCUUGGCUUACCAUGGUUUCAACGGGUAACGGGGAAU